rnacentral:rRNA from 1 species
AUUGAACGCUGGCGGCAGGCCUAACACAUGCAAGUCGAACGAGUGGCGGACGGGUGAGUAAUGUCUGGGAAACUGCCUGAUGGAGGGGGAUAACUACUGGAAACGGUAGCUAAUACCGCAUACCAUAAGAUGUGCCCAUAUGGGAUUGGCUUGUUGGUGGGGUAACGGCUAACAAAGGCGACGAUCCCUAGCUGGUCUGAGAGGAGAACCGGCAACAUGGGAACUGAGACACGGUCCGAACUCCGACGGUAGGCGUCAGUGGGGAACAUUGCACAAGGGGCGAAAGCCUGAUGCAGAAAGGCCGCGUGGUUGAAGAAGGCCUUCGGGUUUAAAAGUACUUUCAGCGGGGAGGCGUUACCCGCAGAAGAAGCACCGGCUAACUCCGUGCCAGCAGCCGCGGUAAUAC